AUUUUGUAAUAAUUUAGUUUAAAAAAAAUAUUUUUGAAACCUUUUAAUAGAUUUUUAAAUUAUAAAUAUAUAUUUUGUUAUGUUAUAUGAAUAUAUAAUUAAUAUUUUUAUAUAUUCAGAUAUCAGUUUGGUUCUCGGUCCAGUUAUUUAAGAUACAAAAUAUAAAAACUAUUUGAAUAUUUUGGUCUACCUCUAGUUUGGAUCUUUGGUUUCGAUUUUUUUGUCCAAGCCUAGGGAACCACAAAUCAUUGAUUUGUGUAGGGCAUUGGGAAAUUAGGCUAAGUAUACACAACAAAAACUACAAUUUACUAACUAACCAAAAACCUUCUCUCUCUC
rnacentral:lncRNA from 1 species